GCAGGGAGGGCUGCAAGAGCAGGGAGGGUUGUAGAAGGGCAGAGAAGGCUGUGGGAGAUCACUGAGGAUGGUGGGAGAAAACUGGAUUAUAGAAGAUAAGGAGAUUGUGGGAGAGCACAGGAUUGUGGGAGAAAACAGAAUUGUGGGUCUGGCUGCGCCCUCACAGUCUGGCAGAACCCUGCCCCUGUCUCCGAGGACACACCAUGUUUGCUCCUUCGUGACCACGCCCCCUCCUGCCCGACAACGCCUCUCUUGCUGGAGCCACAUUCGCGGUUAUCCAUGGGCCUGCUGCACUCCGUAACAGUCCCUAAGAAUUGUGGGAGAGUCAUGGAAUUAUGGGAGGGAACAGAGGCUUCUGGGAGACUGUGGAAGAAGCAGGGACUUUUUGGAGAGACAAAGAAGUGUGGCAGACACAUACGUCAAUGGCCUUCUGUGCUUGGUGUGGUUCCUCCUGCGGAAGCCAUAUCUGAGACAGGAAGGGGUGUAAUUUCAGGCUAUGCAUGGGAAUUGAACUGGAUACUGUCAUGGAAGAAUAUCAUAAAGGCGAAUCUCAUCCAUCAUGUGCAUUCAGUUUUUUUCAGACAACACAUGGAAAGAAGCCCAGCCAGAAGACUUGACUUCAGUGAGAUUAAGGAACCCAGCAGCUUUUCCUUUGACACUCAAUUGGUUAUUUUACCCCCUCAUCCUGGUACAUUUCCUUCUCCCUCUUCUUCUUUCUAA
rnacentral:lncRNA from 1 species